rnacentral:snoRNA from 1 species
AAAAUAGUAGUGAUGAAGUAAAGGAUAUGGUUUCGCAACUAAACCUGAUUAUUUAUUGAUGACACUAUCCUUGGCUGUCUGAACUAUUUU